UUCUAUUGAAGUUUCCAUUUUAGAAACCUUGUAUGAUUUCACUGAAUAUUGAUUGGAAUCUAUUGACUGGUAAAAUGUAGACUGUUAUACACUCAUUUCACUGUGGUUAUUAGUUUGUGUGGAUUGAGUUUGAGUGCUGCUCUCUUCCUUAUAGAUCCUAUAUUAAGCUGCAUUUACAUAUUUUUUUUUACAUUGUCUAUUUAAGAUAUAAAUUUUGUUCCCAAUGAACAAAUUAGGACCCCUGCACCCCCUCCCCCCUCCAAACAUGCAUGUACUCCAAAGAUGCCGCUGAUCAGUAGUAGUCAGGGUGCACCAGGUGAGGCAAUCACCUCGGGCAGCACCAGGUAGGGGUAAGAGGGGGGUAGCGGAAGGGCCAUGGGCAAUGUGCGCUUUAAUUGUGGCAAAGGGGUUAGGUUAAGAAAUUGGCAUGGAGGGGGUGCCAUUUCAAGUUUUGCCUCAGGCAGCAGAAAGGCUAGUAGUUAAUAAUGUUCUAUUCACCAAAGCAUUUUACAGAGUAUCUUGGCUGUCCUCAUCUCACCUACGCCAUCCCCAAUAGGAAUUAUGGAAUUUCAAGUACCUUAUUAACAUUCAUAACAUUUUAUGUUGACUUUUCUUUUUACCACAUCAAGUAUGUGUUUUAGCGUUUUAUUAAAACCUGAUGUGAAUAGUGUAAUGGUGUAUUAUUUGUCUCCUCAGUGAAAUCUGCCAUCUUAGCUUGCCUCCGUUGGAGCACAUUGACUUGGGAGAAGUGAAGAAGUAUUCCUUUCAUGGGUUGUGAGAAAAAAGUACCGUGCUAGGAAUUCCAUCAUUAUGGAUAUUGUUCCAGUACUAUGACUACUGCGUUUUGAGCAGCCGAGCCCCUGGCUUCUUCACUAUAGUGAACUGGUUCACAUGUAUGGAGAAGAUGAGAGCUACAAAGUGUCCUGUACCUGUCUAAGAAGAAACUACAAGACUUAAUCCUUUAUCCUGAAUUUAUUGCAUUAAACAAUAUGUAAAGGACUUAGCCAGGACUUAUUGUCAAAGGACUUAUGGGAUUCUUCUGUAGAAGAAAGGACUAACUUCUGUCAUUUUUUUGUGUCAUACAACCCCUUAAAUAAAUGCUGUUUUGCAAAUGCAUGCAGUUUUUGUUAAUAAAAAGAUAUUUGAAA